rnacentral:rRNA from 1 species
AAAUAAAUCUAUUUAUAGUUAAAAAAAAAAGUUCUUGUCUGAUCACUGAGGUCAAGCAAAGUUGAGCAUGGUUGGUACUUGGAUGGGUGACCACGUGGGAGAACAUCGUACGAUGUUAUUUU